rnacentral:pre_miRNA from 1 species
CCAAGUUUGGUCCCUUCAUCUGCAUUUGCACCUGCACCUUAUUCAACUUCUCUUUUCUUUCUCCACCAACAUAGGAAAAGGGUUUUUUCUUUACUUUGAAAUAACUUAAUUAGCCCUUUAAGUACUCUUUUAAGUACUCUUUCAUGAAUAUGAAGAACGAAAAGGUGAGAGAAAAAAAGGAUCAAUGAUCAAAGGUGCUGGUGCAUUUGCAGCUGAAUGCCAUCUUGG